UACGGAGGGUGCGAGCGUUGUCCGGAAUCAUUGGGCGUAAAGGGCGCGUAGGUGGCCGUGGAAGUUCGAUGUGAAAGCUCGGAGCUUAACUCCGAAAUGGCAUUGAAUACUCUACGGCUCGAGGGUCGGAGGGGAGACUGGAAUUCUCGGUGUAGCAGUGAAAUGCGUAGAUAUCGAGAGGAACACCAGUGGCGAAGGCGAGUCUCUGGACGACACCUGACACUGAGGCACGAAAGCUAGGGGAGCAAACAGG
rnacentral:rRNA from 1 species